UACGUAGGGUGCGAGCGUUGUCCGGAAUUAUUGGGCGUAAAGGGCUCGUAGGCGGUCUGUUGCGUCAGGAGUGAAAACUCGGGGCUUAACCCCGAGCCUGCUUCUGAUACGGGCAGACUAGAGGUAUGCAGGGGAGAACGGAAUUCCGGGUGUAGCGGUGAAAUGCGUAGAUAUCCGGAGGAACACCGGUGGCGAAGGCGGCUUCCUGGACCGACACUGACGCUGAGGCGCGAAAGCUAGGGGAGCAAACGGG
rnacentral:rRNA from 1 species